rnacentral:rRNA from 1 species
GAUGAACGCUGGCGGCGUGCCUAAUACAUGCAAGUCGAGCGAACAGACGAGGAGCUUGCUCCUCUGACGUUAGCGGCGGACGGGUGAGUAACACGUGGAUAACCUACCUAUAAGACUGGGAUAACUUCGGGAAACCGGAGCUAAUACCGGAUAAUAUAUUGAACCGCAUGGUUCAAUAGUGAAAGACGGUUUUGCUGUCACUUAUAGAUGGAUCCGCGCCGCUUUAGCUAGUUGGUAAGGUAACGGCUUACCAAGGCAACGAUGCGUAGCCGACCUGAGAGGGUGAUCGGCCACACUGGAACUGAGACACGGUCCAGACUCCUACGGGAGGCAGCAGUAGGGAAUCUUCCGCAAUGGGCGAAAGCCUGACGGAGCAACGCCGCGUGAGUGAUGAAGGUCUUCGGAUCGUAAAACUCUGUUAUUAGGGAAGAACAAAUGUGUAAGUAACUAUGCACGUCUUGACGGUACCUAAUCAGAAAGCCACGGCUAACUACGUG